GCGGGUGGGAGGGUAAAUAAUUUCAACGAAAAAUUUCAAAUGUACCGCAAAUCCCGAAACAAAGAAAUAUAUAAGAGCGUCCUGUAUCCAGGUACCAAAUUGACCAAUCAAAAUAAGGAAUAACUUCUUCCGAGUAAAUGUAAACAGUGAUUCACGUGGUAAUUAUCCAUUUUUAUAAAAUCAAAAAUUACACUAUACAUUGAGUCCUAAUUUGCGGGCCCAGGACAAUAUUAGUAUUUUUCCAGCACCGUCUUAUAUUUAAUUUUUUUUAGUCUUGUUUUGACCCGGUUAAAUAUUAAGUAGAAAU
rnacentral:lncRNA from 1 species